rnacentral:rRNA from 1 species
GACGAACGCUGGCGGCGUGCUUAACACAUGCAAGUCGAACGAAGAGCGAUGGAAGCUUGCUUCUAUCAAUCUUAGUGGCGAACGGGUGAGUAACGCGUAAUCAACCUGCCCUUCAGAGGGGGACAACAGUUGGAAACGACUGCUAAUACCGCAUACGAUCUAACCUCGGCAUCGAGGAUGGAUGAAAGGUGGCCUCUAUGUAUAAGCUAUCACUGAAGGAGGGGAUUGCGUCUGAUUAGCUAGUUGGAGGGGUAACGGCCCACCAAGGCGAUGAUCAGUAGCCGGUCUGAGAGGAUGAACGGCCACAUUGGGACUGAGACACGGCCCAGACUCCUACGGGAGGCAGCAGUGGGGAAUCUUCCGCAAUGGACGAAAGUCUGACGGAGCAACGCCGCGUGAGUGAUGACGGCCUUCGGGUUGUAAAGCUCUGUUAAUCGGGACGAAAGGCCUUCUUGCGAACAGUUAGAAGGAUUGACGGUACCGGAAUAGAAAGCCCG